rnacentral:rRNA from 1 species
GGCGAACGGGUGAGUAACGCGUAGGAAUCUACCUAGUAGAAGGGGAUAGCCCGAGGAAACUCGGAUUAAUACCGUAUACGUCCUUAGGGAGAAAGAGGGCUUAGCUUUGAUGCUCUCGCUAUUAGAUGAGCCUGCGUAAGAUUAGCUUGUUGGUGAGGUAAAGGCUCACCAAGGCGACGAUCUUUAGCUGGUCUGAGAGGACGAUCAGCCACAUUGGGACUGAGACACGGCCCAGACUCCUACGGGAGGCAGCAGUGGGGAAUAUUGGACAAUGGGCGCAAGCCUGAUCCAGCCAUACCGCGUGUGUGAAGAAGGCCUUCGGGUUGUAAAGCACGUUAAGUAAGGAAGAAAAGAGUAUUGUUAAUACCAUUACUCCGUGACAUUACUUACAGAAUAAGGACCGGCUAAUUCCGUGCCAGCAGCCGCGGUAAUACGGAAGGUCCAAGCGUUAAUCGGAAUUACUGGGCGUAAAGCGCGCGUAGGUGGUUUAUUAAGUUGGGUGUGAAAGCCCCGGGCUCAACCUGGGAACUGCAUCCAAAACUGAUUCACUAGAGUACGAAAGAGGAAAGUAGAAUUCACAGUGUAGCGGUGGAAUGCGUAGAUAUUGUGAAGAAUACCGAUGGCGAAGGCAGCUUUCUGGUUCUGUACUGACACUGAGGUGCGAAAGCGUGGGUAGCGAACAGGAUUAGAUACCCUGGUAGUCCACGCCGUAAACGAUGACAACUAGCUGUUGGGAAGCUAUGCUUUUCAGUGGCGCAGCUAACGUCUUAAGUUGUC